UCCCCCUCCAACAUGCUUUUAAUUGGGUAACUGAAGGCUCUAAUGUUCCCCUCUGGGACAUCUGCUUGCAGGGAGAUGCUGGCUCCCAUUCCCAGCCUGGAAUCACUCCCAGCUCCGGCUCCGUGGCACCCACCUGGGAGCGAUCAGGGACCUGCUGGAGGCUCUGGAUGUGCUCCCUCCAUGGCACUGCUGGGUGCUGGGGGUGUUCCCCCCCUCCCUGCUGAACUGUCACAGGCCUGGGAGGGAAAACACCAACUCCAUCUUGCUGGGAAAUGGGGCUUCAGCUUCUUCCAGUUUUUGGCCUCCCAAAUCCAGCAGAGCUCUCCAGGAGCAGGACAUCCAUGGACAGCACCACGGCACAGAGGGUCACUGCCCAAAUCUGCUUUCUCCUGGCAAGCUGAGUGUGCAGCCGGACACUCGGAAUCUCCAGGGAGCAGCUCAUCCAAAGGAUGCUUUGGGAAGGUGUGGCUGGUGUCUGGUAAGUCCCAGCCUUCCUCUUCUCUGUUUUGGGUCGUGAUCUCACCCCUGGGGGAGGCUGGGACGUGUCUUUGCAGCCCCUGAG
rnacentral:lncRNA from 1 species